rnacentral:rRNA from 1 species
CCUACGGGGGGCAGCAGUGGGGAAUAUUGGACAAUGGGCGCAAGCCUGAUCCAGCAAUGCCGCGUGUGUGAAGAAGGCCUGCGGGUUGUAAAGCACUUUCAGUUGAGGAGAAAGGUCUUGGGUUAAGACCCCAGGACUUUGACGUUAUCAACAGAAGAAGCACCGGCUAACUCCGUGCCAGCAGCCGCGGU